rnacentral:rRNA from 1 species
AGUGGACGCUGGCGGUAGGCCUAACACAUGCAAGUCGAACGGCAGCACAGUAAGAGCUUGCUCUUACGGGUGGCGAGUGGCGGACGGGUGAGGAAUACAUCGGAAUCUACUUUUUCGUGGGGGAUAACGUAGGGAAACUUACGCUAAUACCGCAUACGACCUACGGGUGAAAGCAGGGGAUCUUCGGACCUUGCGCGAUUGAAUGAGCCGAUGUCGGAUUAGCUAGUUGGCGGGGUAAAGGCCCACCAAGGCGACGAUCCGUAGCUGGUCUGAGAGGAUGAUCAGCCACACUGGAACUGAGACACGGUCCAGACUCCUACGGGAGGCGGCAGUGGGGAAUAUUGGACAAUGGGCGCAAGCCUGAUCCAGCCAUACCGCGUGGGUGAAGAAGGCCUUCGGGUUGUAAAGCCCUUUUGUUGGGAAAGAAAAGCAGCAGGUUAAUACCCCGCUGUUCUGACGGUACCCAAAGAAUAAGCACCGGCUAACUUCGUG